UACGGGGGGGGUAAGCGUUGUUCGGAAUUACUGGGCGUAAAGGGCUCGUAGGCGGCCAACUAAGUCGGACGUGAAAUCCCUCAGCUUAACUGGGGAACUGCGUCCGAUACUGGAUGGCUUGGAUUUGGGAGAGGGAUGCGGAAUUCCAGGUGUAGCGGUGAAAUGCGUAGAUAUCUGGAGGAACACCGGUGGCGAAGGCGGCAUCCUGGACCAAUAUUGACGCUGAGGAGCGAAAGCCAGGGGAGCAAUCGGG
rnacentral:rRNA from 1 species